UGUUGCUUCUUGUCCUUUUAUUAUUUUACUUCUCUAUACCUUUUAAUAUGUUAGAGUCUGUAAACAAGUCAAAAAUAACACCUGGCAUUUUGCCAGGGGAAUGUUAGAGUUCGUAAACAAGUCUGGAUGGUGCCUGGCAAAAUGCCAGAGGGAGUGGUUUGAGAAGUAACAAAAGCGAGCCAUUAAGUGUGGAGAUUCCUUAUUGGUUGACUGAUGUAUAAUUAGAUAAGCUGUGUGGAAUGUAUAAAUACUGCUCCUGUCCUGCAAUAAACGGC
rnacentral:lncRNA from 1 species